UGGUGGACCAUCCGUGACUUACUGCCCAAA
rnacentral:piRNA from 1 species